CCUACGGGAGGCAGCAGUAGGGAAUAUUGCUCAAUGGGGGAAACCCUGAAGCAGCAACGCCGCGUGGAGGCUGAAGGUUUUAGGAUUGUAAACUCCUUUUGUUAGAGAAGAUUAUGACGGUAUCUAAUGAAUAAGCACCGGCUAACUCCGUGCCAGCAGCCGCGGUCAUACGGAGGGUGCAAGCGUUACUCGGAAUCACUGGGCGUAAAGAGUGCGUAGGCGGGGUAAUAAGUCAGAUGUGAAAUCCUGUGGCUUAACUACAAGACUGCAUUUGAAACUGUUACUCUGGAGUGUGGGAGAGGUAGGUGGAAUUCUUGGUGUAGGGGUAAAAUCCGUAGAGAUCAAGAAGAAUACUCAUUGCGAAGGCAGCCUGCUGGAACAUGUCUGACGCUGAUGCACGAAAGCGUAGGGAGCAAACAGGAUUAGAUACCCCGGUAGUC
rnacentral:rRNA from 1 species